rnacentral:tRNA from 2 species
GCCCGGGUAGCUCAAUCGGUAGAGCGUGUGGCUCUUAAGAAACACCUCAAGGUCGCGGGUUCGAGCCCCGCCUCGGGCU